AUUGAACGCUGGCGGCAGGCCUAACACAUGCAAGUCGAACGGUAACAGGAAGCAGCUUGCUGCUUUGCUGACGAGUGGCGGACGGGUGAGUAAUGUCUGGGAAACUGCCUGAUGGAGGGGGAUAACUACUGGAAACGGUGGCUAAUACCGCAUAACGUCGCAAGACCAAAGAGGGGGACCUUCGGGCCUCUUGCCAUCAGAUGUGCCCAGAUGGGAUUAGCUUGUUGGUGAGGUAACGGCUCACCAAGGCGACGAUCCCUAGCUGGUCUGAGAGGAUGACCAGCCACACUGGAACUGAGACACGGUCCAGACUCCUACGGGAGGCAGCAGUGGGGAAUAUUGCACAAUGGGCGCAAGCCUGAUGCAGCCAUGCCGCGUGUAUGAAGAAGGCCUUCGGGUUGUAAAGUACUUUCAGCGGGGAGGAAGGUGUUGUGGUUAAUAACCGCAGCAAUUGACGUUACCCGCAGAAGAAGCACCGGCUAACUCCGUGCCAGCAGCCGCGGUAAUACGGAGGGUGCAAGCGUUAAUCGGAAUUACUGGGCGUAAAGCGCACGCAGGCGGUCUGUCAAGUCGGAUGUGAAAUCCCCGGGCUCAACCUGGGAACUGCAUUCGAAACUGGCAGGCUUGAGUCUUGUAGAGGGGGGUAGAAUUCCAGGUGUAGCGGUGAAAUGCGUAGAGAUCUGGAGGAAUACCGGUGGCGAAGGCGGCCCCCUGGACAAAGACUGACGCUCAGGUGCGAAAGCGUGGGGAGCAAACAGGAUUAGAUACCCUGGUAGUCCACGCCGUAAACGAUGUCUACUUGGAGGUUGUGCCCUUGAGGCGUGGCUUCCGGAGCUAACGCGUUAAGUAGACCGCCUGGGGAGUACGGCCGCAAGGUUAAAACUCAAAUGAAUUGACGGGGGCCCGCACAAGCGGUGGAGCAUGUGGUUUAAUUCGAUGCAACGCGAAGAACCUUACCUGGUCUUGACAUCCACAGAACUUUCCAGAGAUGGACUGGUGCCUUCGGGAACUGUGAGACAGGUGCUGCAUGGCUGUCGUCAGCUCGUGUUGUGAAAUGUUGGGUUAAGUCCCGCAACGAGCGCAACCCUUAUCCUUUGUUGCCAGCGAUUAGGUCGGGAACUCAAAGGAGACUGCCAGUGAUAAACUGGAGGAAGGUGGGGAUGACGUCAAGUCAUCAUGGCCCUUACGACCAGGGCUACACACGUGCUACAAUGGCGCAUACAAAGAGAAGCGACCUCGCGAGAGCAAGCGGACCUCAUAAAGUGCGUCGUAGUCCGGAUUGGAGUCUGCAACUCGACUCCAUGAAGUCGGAAUCGCUAGUAAUCGUGGAUCAGAAUGCCACGGUGAAUACGUUCCCGGGCCUUGUACACACCGCCCGUCACACCAUGGGAGUGGGUUGCAAAAGAAGUAGGUAGCUUAACCUUCGGGAGGGCGCUUACCACUUUGUGAUUCAUGACUGGGGUGAAGUCGUAACAAGGUAACCGUAGGGGAACCUGCGGUUGGAUCACCUCCUUACCUUAAAGAAGCGUACUUUGAAGUGCUCACACAGAUUGUCUGAUGAAAAGUGAAUAGCAAGGCGUCUUGCGAUUGAGACUUCAGUGUCCCCUUCGUCUAGAGGCCCAGGACACCGCCCUUUCACGGCGGUAACAGGGGUUCGAAUCCCCUAGGGGACGCCACUUGCGCGGUAAUGUGUGAAAGGCGUUGCCAUCAGUAUCUCAAAACUGACUUACGAGUCACGUUUGAGAUAUUUGCUCUUUAAAAAUCUGGAUCAAGCUGAAAAUUGAAACACAGAACAACGAAAGUUGUUCGUAAGUCUCUCAAAUUUUCGCGACACGAGAAUGUUUUACGAAACAUCUUCGGGUUGUGAGGUUAAGCGACUAAGCGUACACGGUGGAUGCCCUGGCAGUCAGAGGCGAUGAAGGGCGUGCUAAUCUGCGAUAAGCGCCGGUAAGGUGAUAUGAACCGUUAUAACCGGCGAUACCCGAAUGGGGAAACCCAGUGUGACUCGUCACACUAUCAUUAACUGAAUCCAUAGGUUAAUGAGGCGAACCGGGGGAACUGAAACAUCUAAGUACCCCGAGGAAAAGAAAUCAACCGAGAUUCCCCCAGUAGCGGCGAGCGAACGGGGAGGAGCCCAGAGCCUGAAUCAGCAUGUGUGUUAGUGGAAGCGUCUGGAAAGGCGCGCGAUACAGGGUGACAGCCCCGUACACAAAAGCGCAUGUGCUGUGAGCUCGAUGAGUAGGGCGGGACACGUGGUAUCCUGUCUGAAUAUGGGGGGACCAUCCUCCAAGGCUAAAUACUCCUGACUGACCGAUAGUGAACC
rnacentral:misc_RNA from 1 species